rnacentral:lncRNA from 1 species
CGCAAAACGUAGCAACAACAAGCCAAAGAUCACAAGAAAAUGUUGGAUUGACAGCUUGAAGAAUAGUUCUGCAAUAUGUGCAACAGUUGUAGAAAGUGAGAUUAAUUUCUAGUUUCCUACAGUGUUUAGCUUUGUCUAAUUGAUUUCUAACAAAUCCCUAAUAUCCUAUUAUGAUUCUAGGUUACAUAAGGCUCAUUAGAUUAAUUAAAUGGAAGAGGAAAAUAGACGGACAGUGGCAUACCUGCUCGGUCUGUGAUUUCUGGAAAUAUUGCAGAAAAUGAGCUUCGGUCAAAGCCUUCUGCAAAAUCUGGAGUCCUAAGGUUAUUAAGAAACGUGUUUAAGUGUGAAAGAAGAGUGGAAGAAUACAAUUUAGGGAAAAAAGAAGCUUAUGUUAAAUAGAAACCAAGUUUUGGACUCCCAAUCUCACUCGCACACUCACACGUUCUGUUUUCGCAAAUUUCCGCACCACCAAAGCUUUUAAUUUCUCUCAACUCAAGGUUUUCGUGUUGGUUUGUUUGUUGGUAGAAGAAAUGAUGAAAAAGCUAUGCUGUAGAAGAAAACUUAAGGGAAAAGUUCAAUUAAUCCAAGCCUUCAUUCACAUGCAGCCUCUCCUAAUUGAAGAUGUAAGGACAUGACCGACAGCGUAC